rnacentral:rRNA from 1 species
AUUGAACGCUGGCGGCAGGCCUAACACAUGCAAGUCGAGCGGAUGAAGAGAGCUUGCUCUCUGAUUCAGCGGCGGACGGGUGAGUAAUGACUAGGAAUCUGCCUGGUAGUGGGGGACAACGUUUCGCAAGGAACGCUAAUACCGCAUCCGUCCUACGGGAGAAAGCAGGGGACCUUCGGGCCUUGCGCUAUCAGAUGAGCCUAGGUCGGAUUAGCUAGUUGGUGAGGUAAUGGCUCACCAAGGCGACGAUCCGUAAAUGGUCUGAGAGGAUGAUCAGUCACACUGGAACUGGGGCACGGUCCAGACUCCUACGGGAGGCAGCAGUGGGGAAUAUUGGACAAUGGGCGAAAGCCUGAUCCAGCCAUGCCGCGUGUGUGAAGAAGGUCUUCGGGUUGUAAAGCACUUUAAGUUGGGAGGAAGGGCAGUAAGUUAAUACCUUGCUGUUUUGACGUUACCGACAGAAUAAGCACCGGCUAACUCUGUGCCAGCAGCCGCCGUAAUAC